rnacentral:rRNA from 1 species
AUACGUAGGGUGCAAGCGUUAAUCGGAAUUACUGGGCGUAAAGCGUGCGCAGGCGGUUUUGUAAGACAGAGGUGAAAUCCCCGGGCUCAACCUGGGAACUGCCUUUGUGACUGCAAGGCUAGAGUACGGCAGAGGGGGAUGGAAUUCCGCGUGUAGCAGUGAAAUGCGUAGAUAUGCGGAGGAACACCGAUGGCGAAGGGAAUCCCCUGGGCCUGUUCUGACUGUCAUGCACGAAAGCGUGGGGAGCAAACAGGAUUAGAUCCCCGGGUAGUCCACGCCCUAAACGAUGUCAACUGGGUGUUGGGUCUUCAUUGACUCAGUAACGAAGCUAACGCGUGAAGUUGACCGCCUGGGGAGUACGGCCGCAAGGUUGAAACUCAAAUGAAUUGACGGGG